UCGCGGCUUAUCACCGGCAGUCCCCUUAGAGUGCCCAACUGAAUGAUGGCAACUAAGGGCGAGGGUUGCGCUCGUUGCGGGACUUAACCCAACAUCUCACGACACGAGCUGACGACAGCCAUGCAGCACCUGUGUUGCGGUUCCCUUUCGGGCACCGAGGUAUCUCUACGGCUUUUCCCAUAAUGUCAAACCCAGGUAAGGUUCUUCGGGUUGCAUCGAAUUAAGCCGCAUGCUCCGCCGCUUGUGCGGGGACCCGUCAAUUCCUUUGAGUUUUAGCCUUGCGGCCGUACUCCCCAGGCGGGGUACUUAAUGCGUUAGCUUCGGCACGGCAACCGUUGAUCGGGUCGCCACACCUAGUACCCAACGUUUACGGCGUGGACUAC
rnacentral:misc_RNA from 1 species